rnacentral:rRNA from 1 species
GACGAACCGUGCGAACGUUGUUCGGAAUCACUGGGCUUAAAGGGCGCGUAGGCGGGUUGCCGCGUCCGGGGUGAAAUCCCACCGCUCAACGGUGGAACGGCCCCGGAUACGGGCGGCCUCGAGGGGGUAGGGGCGGGCGGAACUAUGCGUGGAGCGGUGAAAUGCGUUGAUAUGCAUAGGAACUCCGGUGGCGAAGGCGGCCCGCUGGACCCCAUCUGACGCUGAGGCGCGAAAGCCAGGGGAGCGAACGGG